CCAGGCCGUGGCCUCCACGCCUGCCACUGCAGCCAAGCGCACGCCACCCCACUUCCGCUUCCGCUCGGCCGCCCCCUUCGGCGUCACCCCCGCCCCCAGGCCGAGACACCGCCCCCUUCUUUAAAGGGGCCUAGGACCCCGAGGGGAGGAGGCGGAAGCAGCGGUGGCUCCUGGCCUCGCUACUGCCCGGUGUCGGGCACACGGAGCUGCCGCCCGACUUCGGCGUGGACAACAGGUCGCCCGUCUCUGAAGCCUUCCGCGCUCUAGAGCGCCGCUCUUAGAGGUCGCAGGGGGCACUCCGGGGGGCGGAGGUGAGCCGGGCGUUCUGCCAGGGUCCCGGAAGACCUAGGCCGUCCCUGUCUUUAAGGGCAUCCCCCGCGGAGUAUUGAGCUCAGACCAAGGUCCGGAGGUGUGCUGCAGGAGUGCUCCUCGUGACCCCAUUCCUGGGGAGGCCGCACGGAGCCUCGGACCUACCACUGCCCUCCACUGGACGCUAACGUGCAAGACUCUCCUUGGUCUUCUGCGCAGGGGGAGCUAACCCUAACCCUGCGAUGUCUACCACACGGGCAACCGACAACCUCAAGGACCGGAACUCUGACCUGGCAUCUGCAGUUGUGAACUCCCCUGGAGGGUUGGGGACAAAGCCUGGUCCCGCCCCCGUCUUGGGCUCGCUGAGCCCCAUGGAGAGCACGCACAAGCCAAAAAAGGGAAAGGAACCUUAAAAUUUUAAAUCUUUAA